ensembl:lncRNA
ACACACAUGUGAGGUGACAUUGGGGACACACAGGAGGUGACAUUGGGGGCACACGGGAGGUGACACACACAGGAGGUGACACACGUGUGACAUUGGGGACACACAGGAGGUGACAUUGGGGACACACGUGAGGGGACAUUGGGACACACAGGAGGUGACACACACAUGUGAGGUGACACACGUGUGACAUUGGGGACACGGGAGGUGACAUUGGGGACACACGGGAGGGGACAUUGGGGACCCACAGGAGGUGACAUUGGGGACACACGGGAGGUGACACACACAGGAGGUGACACACUGACGGUGACACACCCGGCAGCGCUAUGGGGCACACCCAUGGCUACGUGCGCACACGGGGACACGUGGGGUGAUAAUGGGACACGUGGGGUGACAGUGGGGUGACAAUGAGACACGUGGGGUGACAGUGGGGACAUGUGGGGUGACAAUGGGGUGACAAUGGGACAGAUGGGGUGACAAUGGGGUGGCAGUGGGGUGACACAUGGGGUGACAGUGGGACAUGUGGGGUGUCAGUGGGGUGACAGUGGGGUGGCAGUGGGGUGACAAUGGGGACAGAUGGGGUGACAGUGGGACAUGCGGGGUGACAAUGGGACACAUGGGGUGACAAUGGGGUGGCAGUGGGGACACAUGGGGUGACAGUGGGGUGACAAUGGGGACAUGUGGGGUGACAGUGGGGUGACAAUGGGGUGACAGUGGGACAUGUGGGGUGACAGUGGGACAUGUGGGGUGACAAUGGGGAUAUGUGGGGUGACAGUGGGGCACGUGGGGUGGCAAUGGGGUGACAUAUGUGGUGACAAUGGGAUACGUGUGGUGACAGUCGGGUGACAAUGGGGUGACAAUGGGGUGACAAUGGGGUGACAAUGGGAUAUGUGUGGUGACAGUGGGGUGACAGUGGGGUGACAAUGGGGUGGCAAUGGGGUGACAAUGGGGUGACACGUGGGGUGAUAAUGGGGUGACACGUGGGGUGACAAUGGGGCACGUAGGGUGACAGUGGGGUGACAAUGGGGUGACAUGUGGUGACAAUGGGAUAUGUGUGGUGACAGUGGGGUGGCAAUGGGGUGACAAUGGGGUGACAGUGGGGUGGCAAUGGGGUGACAAUGGGGUGACACGUGGGGUGACAGUGGGGUGACAGUGGGGUGACAGUGGGAUACGUGUGGUGACAAUGGGGUGGCAAUGGGGUGACGAUGGGACACAUGGGGUGACAGUGGGGUGACAAUGGGGACAGAUGGGGUGACAGUGGGACAUGUGGCGUGACAGUGGGGUGACAAUGGUGAUAUGUGGGGUGACAAUGGGGUGACAGUGGGACACAUGGGCUGAUAAUGGGGUGACAAUGGGGUGACAAUGGGACAUAUGGGGUGACAAUGGGGUGACAGUGGGGUGACAAUGGGGACAGAUGGGGUGACAGUGGGGUGACAGUGGGAUACGUGUGGUGACAGUGGGGUGACAGUGGGGUGACAAUGGGGACAGAUGGGGUGACAGUGGGACAUGUGGGGUGACAAUGGCAAUGGGGUGACAGUGCUACACGUGGGGUGACAGUGGGGUGGCAAUGGGGUGACGAUGGGACACGUGGGGUGAGAAUGGGGUGACAAUGGGGCACGUGGGGUGACAAUGGGGUGACAAUGGGGUGACAAUGGGGACACAUGGGGUGACAAUGGGACACGUGGGGUGACAAUGGGGAUAUGUGGGGUGACAAUGGGGUGACAAUGGGACAC